UACGGAGGAUGCAAGCGUUAUCCGGAUUUAUUGGGUUUAAAGGGUGCGUAGGCGGAGGAGUAAGUCAGAGGUGAAAUGCCGCAGCUCAACUGCGGAACUGCCUUUGAUACUGCUUUUCUGGAGUUCGGAUGCCGUGGGAGGAAUGGGCAGUGUAGCGGUGAAAUGCACAGAUAUUGCCCAGAACACCGAUUGCGAAGGCAUCUCACGAAUCCGAGACUGACGCUGAGGCACGAAAGCGUGGGGAUCAAAC
rnacentral:rRNA from 1 species